AAGGCACGAAGCGAUUUGGGAGGCGGCGAAGGCACACGGCGCUUUGCUAGGCGCCGAAGGCAUGCAGCGCUUCCUUCGUUUGCGAGGCAGCGAAGAGAUGGAGCGGUUUGCUUGUUGGCCAGGCAGUGAACAGGCGCUGUGCUUUGCUUUCUGCCAGUCAGCGAAUACAUGCAGCGGUCUGCUUUUCUGCGAGGCACUGAACACAUGCAGUGUUUAGUUUGCGAGGCAGCGAAGAGAUGCAGCACUUUGCUUGUCCACCAGGUGGCGCAGCUGCAUCGCGGUUGCUUUUUCGCGCAGAAGCGAACAGACGCAGCACUUUGCGAGGCAGCGAACACAUGCAGUAGUUUCCUUGUUUGUGAGGCACUGAACAGAACAGCGAAGCAACGAACAGACACAGCGGUUUGCUUGUUCACGAGGCGGCAAAGACAUGCAGCGGUUAGUUAUUUUGCCAGCCAGCGAACAAACGCAGCAGUUUGCUUGAUUGCUAGGCAGUGAAGAGAUGCAGCGGUUUUCUUGUUUGCAAGGCAUCGAAUAGAUGCAGCGCUUAAUUAGCUUGUGAGGUUGCGAGGAGGUGCUGCGCCUUGCUUGCUCGCACGGAAUCGAAGAGGCGCAGUGGUCUGCUUGUUUUCAAGGCAGUGAAGAGACGCAGCUGUUUGCUCUUUUGCGAGGCAGCAAAGACAUGCAGCGGUUAGUUAGCUUGUGAGGCAGCGAASAGAYGCAGCAGUGUGCUUGUUUGCAAGGCAGUGAACACAAGCAGCAGUUAGUUCGCGAGGCAGCGAAGAGGCGCAGCAGUGUGCUUGUUCGUGAGGUGGCGAACAGAUGCAGUGGUUAAUUAGUUUGCGAUGCAGCGAAGAGGCGCAGUCGUAAUUACGCUGCAAGGCAGUGAAGAGAUGCAGUUGUAAGUGAGUUUGCGAGGCAGCGAAGAGACGCAGCAGUUUGCUUGUUUGCGAGGUAUUGAAGAGACACAGCGGUUUGCUUGUUCGGAAAGCGGUGGACAGAUUCUGUGGACUGCUUGUUCACGAGGCAGUGAAGAGAUGCAGCGGUUAGUUCAUGAGUCAUGGAAGAGAGGCAGCGGUUUGCUUGUUUGCGUGGCAGCGAAGAGACGCAGUGGUUUGCUUUUUCGGAAAGCGGUGGACAGAUUCUGCGGAAUGCUCAUUCACAAUGCAUCAAAAAGAUGCGAGGCAUCUGCUAUGCUUCAGCCGAUCGGUGCCGCCUGAGA
ensembl:lncRNA